GCUGAAACACCGGUUCUCGUUCGAUCACCGAAGUUAAGCAUCGUAGAGCCAGGUCAGUACUUAGAUGGGGGACCGCUUGGGAAUC